UUAAGCGACUAAGCGUACACGGUGGAUGCCCUGGCAGUCAGAGGCGAUGAAGGACGUGCUAAUCUGCGAUAAGCGUCGGUAAGGUGAUAUGAACCGUUAUAACCGGCGAUUUCCGAAUGGGGAAACCCAGUGUGUUUCGACACACUAUCAUUAACUGAAUCCAUAGGUUAAUGAGGCGAACCGGGGGAACUGAAACAUCUAAGUACCCCGAGGAAAAGAAAUCAACCGAGAUUCCCCCAGUAGCGGCGAGCGAACGGGGAGCAGCCCAGAGCCUGAAUCAGUGUGUGUGUUAGUGGAAGCGUCUGGAAAGGCGCGCGAUACAGGGUGACAGCCCCGUACACAAAAAUGCACAUGCUGUGAGCUCGAUGAGUAGGGCGGGACACGUGGUAUCCUGUCUGAAUAUGGGGGGACCAUCCUCCAAGGCUAAAUACUCCUGACUGACCGAUAGUGAACCAGUACCGUGAGGGAAAGGCGAAAAGAACCCCGGCGAGGGGAGUGAAAAAGAACCUGAAACCGUGUACGUACAAGCAGUGGGAGCACGCUUAGGCGUGUGACUGCGUACCUUUUGUAUAAUGGGUCAGCGACUUAUAUUCUGUAGCAAGGUUAACCGAAUAGGGGAGCCGAAGGGAAACCGAGUCUUAACUGGGCGUUAAGUUGCAGGGUAUAGACCCGAAACCCGGUGAUCUAGCCAUGGGCAGGUUGAAGGUUGGGUAACACUAACUGGAGGACCGAACCGACUAAUGUUGAAAAAUUAGCGGAUGACUUGUGGCUGGGGGUGAAAGGCCAAUCAAACCGGGAGAUAGCUGGUUCUCCCCGAAAGCUAUUUAGGUAGCGCCUCGUGAAUUCAUCUCCGGGGGUAGAGCACUGUUUCGGCAAGGGGGUCAUCCCGACUUACCAACCCGAUGCAAACUGCGAAUACCGGAGAAUGUUAUCACGGGAGACACACGGCGGGUGCUAACGUCCGUCGUGAAGAGGGAAACAACCCAGACCGCCAGCUAAGGUCCCAAAGUCAUGGUUAAGUGGGAAACGAUGUGGGAAGGCCCAGACAGCCAGGAUGUUGGCUUAGAAGCAGCCAUCAUUUAAAGAAAGCGUAAUAGCUCACUGGUCGAGUCGGCCUGCGCGGAAGAUGUAACGGGGCUAAACCAUGCACCGAAGCUGCGGCAGCGACACUAUGUGUUGUUGGGUAGGGGAGCGUUCUGUAAGCCUGUGAAGGUGUGCUGUGAGGCAUGCUGGAGGUAUCAGAAGUGCGAAUGCUGACAUAAGUAACGAUAAAGCGGGUGAAAAGCCCGCUCGCCGGAAGACCAAGGGUUCCUGUCCAACGUUAAUCGGGGCAGGGUGAGUCGACCCCUAAGGCGAGGCCGAAAGGCGUAGUCGAUGGGAAACAGGUUAAUAUUCCUGUACUUGGUGUUACUGCGAAGGGGGGACGGAGAAGGCUAUGUUGGCCGGGCGACGGUUGUCCCGGUUUAAGCGUGUAGGCUGGUUUUCCAGGCAAAUCCGGAAAAUCAAGGCUGAGGCGUGAUGACGAGGCACUACGGUGCUGAAGCAACAAAUGCCCUGCUUCCAGGAAAAGCCUCUAAGCAUCAGGUAACAUCAAAUCGUACCCCAAACCGACACAGGUGGUCAGGUAGAGAAUACCAAGGCGCUUGAGAGAACUCGGGUGAAGGAACUAGGCAAAAUGGUGCCGUAACUUCGGGAGAAGGCACGCUGAUAUGUAGGUGAAGUCCCUCGCGGAUGGAGCUGAAAUCAGUCGAAGAUACCAGCUGGCUGCAACUGUUUAUUAAAAACACAGCACUGGUGCAAACACGAAAGUGGACGUAUACGGUGUGACGCCUGCCCGGUGCCGGAAGGUUAAUUGAUGGGGUCAGCGCAAGCGAAGCUCUUGAUCGAAGCCCCGGUAAACGGCGGCCGUAACUAUAACGGUCCUAAGGUAGCGAAAUUCCUUGUCGGGUAAGUUCCGACCUGCACGAAUGGCGUAAUGAUGGCCAGGCUGUCUCCACCCGAGACUCAGUGAAAUUGAACUCGCUGUGAAGAUGCAGUGUACCCGCGGCAAGACGGAAAGACCCCGUGAACCUUUACUAUAGCUUGACACUGAACAUUGAGCCUUGAUGUGUAGGAUAGGUGGGAGGCUUGGAAGUGUGGACGCCAGUCUGCAUGGAGCCGACCUUGAAAUACCACCCUUUAAUGUUUGAUGUUCUAACGUUGACCCGUAAUCCGGGUUGCGGACAGUGUCUGGUGGGUAGUUUGACUGGGGCGGUCUCCUCCUAAAGAGUAACGGAGGAGCACGAAGGUUGGCUAAUCCUGGUCGGACAUCAGGAGGUUAGUGCAAUGGCAUAAGCCAGCUUGACUGCGAGCGUGACGGCGCGAGCAGGUGCGAAAGCAGGUCAUAGUGAUCCGGUGGUUCUGAAUGGAAGGGCCAUCGCUCAACGGAUAAAAGGUACUCCGGGGAUAACAGGCUGAUACCGCCCAAGAGUUCAUAUCGACGGCGGUGUUUGGCACCUCGAUGUCGGCUCAUCACAUCCUGGGGCUGAAGUAGGUCCCAAGGGUAUGGCUGUUCGCCAUUUAAAGUGGUACGCGAGCUGGGUUUAGAACGUCGUGAGACAGUUCGGUCCCUAUCUGCCGUGGGCGCUGGAGAACUGAGGGGGGCUGCUCCUAGUACGAGAGGACCGGAGUGGACGCAUCACUGGUGUUCGGGUUGUCAUGCCAAUGGCACUGCCCGGUAGCUAAAUGCGGAAGAGAUAAGUGCUGAAAGCAUCUAAGCACGAAACUUGCCCCGAGAUGAGUUCUCCCUGACUCCUUGAGAGUCCUGAAGGAACGUUGAAGACGACGACGUUGAUAGGCCGGGUGUGUAAGCGCAGCGAUGCGUUGAGCUAACCGGUACUAAUGAACCGUGAGGCUUAACCUU
rnacentral:rRNA from 1 species